GCCACCACACAUGGCCUGGUUACGCAAUCGGAAGUGAACCUCACUAUCGAUACUGCUGCUUUGGGGAUCUUCGGUGCGGCGAAGCAAGGCUAGCAAGAGGAGGACGGAAGAGGAUACAGCCCACGCUCCAUUCCUCUUCCUCCUGGCAAAAUAUCCGCACGAGUCCUACCGCGUGCGGCGGCCGGAAGGAAUUCGCUCGGAUUGAGCGCUCCACCGCUGGGAUCCCGCCGUUGUUCGCGCGAGAAUCCACCUCUACCGGGUCUGCGAUCCUCGCAUCGCGGCUUCCCGUCACAUCUUGACCGAGGAAUUUCUGUGGAGCCGCCGUGGAGUCACCGGAGGCUUCUUCUGCGGUGUCCAGGGCGGCUGGGUCCUGUCGCGUUCGGGGUUGAUGCGCGGCGUCUCCGGCGCCACUGCUGCGACGUUCGGCGAGACUGGUGCUUCAGAUCGCGGAGCCGGCCCGGGGUUGUCCUUCCACUUGCUGUGGCUGUGGUUGGGGAUCGGUGGUGGGGAGUAAAGCCUGGGGAGUGAGCAGAUGGAAGAGGACUGUACUUUACUAUUUUCGCUACCACUUGGAUUUCGCUCCAGUUAGAGAGUAGAUUAGCCUUAUCUUGCUUGCCGAUCAGAGCUUAUAGUGGUCUUGUCGUGUUCGCCGGAGCAGGUUCUUGGUGGUUUUGGGGAGCAGUCGCUUAAUUGCUGCAAGCAGAAGCAUAAUCGGGAGUUGGUUUGUCUGAGGAACCAGUCUGUGUGUGGUAACUUGAGCCGUGGAAUCGCGCAAAUCCAGCUUUGCAGGGUUGCUGCAGCUGGAUAUGGUGCAUGCGAAGAAUCUGGAGAGCUUGUUCGAUUGCUUUGCGUCACACAAUGUCUCGGUGCUUCCCAUUCCCGCCUCCCGGGUAUGAGGCAAAGCCCAGGAGUGAGCAUAAGGAUCUGCUAAAGAAGGAAAAUCACAAGGCAAAGAAGCACAAAAAGGAAAAGACGGAUGGGGGCAAAAGAGAAAGAAAAGAAAAGGAUCGUGCUUAUAGGAAAGAUAAGCACAAGAAGAAACACAAAAGAGAGAAGCACAAAGAUAGGAGAGAGAAGAAAGAAAGAGAUAAAGACAAAAGACAAAAUUUGGAACUGGGAACCCAGAAGAAGGAUGAUCUUGACAAUAGAAGACCCAAACAGACAGUGCAUAAUGAAGCAGUCAAAUAUAGCAAACAUAAAGAUGAGUUGGCUACCCAGAUCACAGGCCAAGAAGGUCAUGCAAACCGCACCAGGAGUAAUACUGGCAAGUUGCUUCCUCGAAGCAUCGAGUCCUUUGGUGUUGUAGGUUCUAAAGAGAAGGAACGAACUUCUUUCAGUAGAGUGAAUGGGAAAUCCAGGCAAAUUGCUCAGCACAAUCAUGCCAGUGAAAAGGGAAAGAAUAAAACUGGAAUCUUGAGUGGUACCAGCCUUCAACUUGGGUCAGCUGAAAAACGUUCUACCAGAAUACAUGGUAGUAGUGGAGUGGGCCUGCAACAGGAUAGCUCUAAAGGUAUAUUUGUUACUACCACAGCCUCUCAACAGAAGUGCAGAAUUACGCCAAGUGCAAAUGCUGCGCAGAGAACUGAACAAGUGGACCAACAUCCAGAUGGUUCUUCUCAUUCUGCAUAUGGAAAAAGUGACAGCGUGAGCACCAAGUGGAUGGCAGAGAAUAAAAAUGGGAAUGCCGACAAUUUUCAUUUCGGGAUGGAUAAGCAAUCGGCAAGAGGCAAAAGUGGAGCAGAUCAAGGGAUUGCAAAGAUUAAGGAGGCAAAAGCUAAUCAUCAGAAGAGUGUUAAAGAUGGAGAUAAAAGGCAUGGUGUAAAUCAGAAGGUUGUUAAAGACACAGAUAGAGAUUGCAAUGUAAGGAAAAGAAAGGCUAAAGAUGGUAAUGAAGGCAAAACCAGGGAGAAAAGAAGUGCUAUAGAUGAACAGAAACACAGAGAGCUUGACGGAGAUGGGGCAAGCAAGAACUAUAUUCAUGAUCUAAUGGACUUGGCUCAUCUUAAUGGGAACAAGUUCACUUCUGAUGAUUUCAAGAAAAGGAAAGGCUUAAACGCUAACAGUUCUCUACAUGAUCAUCAAAGUAUGCCAAUGACUAAGAUGCCAAGGACGUCUCCUGCCAAUCAUCUUUGUGUGAAUGGGGAAAUGUUGAAGCAUUCUCAAGGAACUGCGCCUACAUUACCAGUGGGCACAAACCCUCGUGAGGCAGGCAUGCUUGAAGAUAGCAAGGAAUGCAUCAAAAAUGGCAUGACCGGCCUCCUCAACCUAGAGGAACACAAUUCUGCAGUCUCUCCAUCCAGCUAUGGCAGCAGUGAAGUCUCUCUGACGCCAGCUCACCCUGAUACCAAGUAUCUGAGCCAUGUGUACUCCGUACCAGCGGCCGACGACCCCUCAGAGUACAUUGAUCAAGACUGGCUGUUUUCGGGAGACCGUGUUCACCAGAAAACAACGAUGCUUGAGGCCGCAAAAGCACCCCAGGUCUGGGCUGAAGCACAGCUGAUCGAUUCUGCUGAUGUAGUUGCUCUGCCUUAUGUUGUUCCUUUGUAAUGUGAAACUCCUCCUUCAUAGUUUUGGGCUAUGAUCAGGAAGCGCAGAAGAUAGGAUUCACUUAUUCGUUUUGCUGUCAUGCCAGCAUGGUUUUGUUGGCGAGAUUUCUGGCCACUAAACUGCUAGUGACACUAGUUGAGGUUUUAUUGUCUGUAAGGUUGUGCUGCAUAUCAGAUGAUACGACGGCCAACGGGCACACUUGAGAUUCUGUACAUGAAGCGUUUUGAUUCAGCGACAAGUGUUGCUCCUGCUGUACCGCCAGACAGUUUGGCGUUUUUCUUUCUUUUGCGAAAAGACAGUUUUGGCGUUGUAUUCGUGAAUCUUUCACGAAAGAAAUGUUUAGAGGCCAAGGAACUCGAAACACGAAAAAUGAAGUGUCUCUAAGAUCCUGUUAUUGUGCUUGAACAAGAGC
rnacentral:rRNA from 1 species